rnacentral:rRNA from 1 species
AUUGAACGCUGGCGGCAUGCUUUACACAUGCAAGUCGAACGGCAGCGCGGGCUUCGGCCUGGCGGCGAGUGGCGAACGGGUGAGUAAUACAUCGGAACGUGCCCAGUAGCGGGGGAUAGCUCGGCGAAAGCCGGAUUAAUACCGCAUACGACCUGAGGGUGAAAGCGGGGGAUCUUCGGAUCUCGCGCUAUUGGAGCGGCCGAUGGCGGAUUAGCUAGUUGGUGGGGUAAAGGCCUACCAAGGCGACGAUCUGUAGCUGGUCUGAGAGGACGACCAGCCACACUGGGACUGAGACACGGCCCAGACUCCUACGGGAGGCAGCAGUGGGGAAUUUUGGACAAUGGGCGAAAGCCUGAUCCAGCAAUGCCGCGUGUGUGAUGAAGGCCUUCGGGUUGUAAAGCACUUUUGGCGGGAACGAAAAGGACUGUGCCAAUACCACGGUUCGAUGACGGUACCCGCAGAAUAAGCACCGGCUAACUACGUG